CGCGUAGGAAUCUACCUAGUGGUGGGGGAUAGCCCGGGGAAACUCGGAUUAAUACCGCAUAAGCUCUAUGGAGGAAAGUGGGGGAUCUUUUGACCUCAUGCCACAUGAUGAGCCUGCGUAAGAUUAGCUAGUUGGUGGGGUAAAGGCCUACCAAGGCGACGAUCUUUAGCUGGUCUGAGAGGAUGAUCAGCCACACUGGGACUGAGACACGGCCCAGACUCCUACGGGAGGCAGCAGUGGGGAAUAUUGCACAAUGGGCGCAAGCCUGAUGCAGCCAUGCCGCGUGUGUGAAGAAGGCCU
rnacentral:rRNA from 1 species